UGCCGUCGCACCUGGGGCCAGAGGUGGAAGUAGAAGUCGGCGGACAGCAGCGCCCCGAGCAGCAGCACGGGAACGACACACUUCACUGACCAGAGUUGCCGGGAGCUCGAAUAAAGGUGGCCUGGAAGCUCUGCAGCUUUACAUCCCAGGUAUUUUAGAGCCUGCAAAACCAGCAGUUUUGGGGCAGAGAACAUGCUAACAAUUCCUGUUAUAUUGUACUCUCCCAAGCACUU